rnacentral:rRNA from 1 species
CCCUUAGAUGCUCUGGGCCGCACGCGCGCUACACUGGUCGAUGCAACGAGUUUCUUUCCUUGGCCGACAGGCCUGGGCAAUCUUUGAACAUCGAUCGUGAUCGGGAUAGAUUCUUGUAAUUUUUGAUCUUAAACGAGGAAUUCCUAGUAAACGCAAGUCAUCAGCUUGCAUUGAUUACGUCCCUGCCCUUUGUACACACCGCCCGUCGCACCUACCGAUUGAAUGGUCCGGUGAAGCCUCCGGAUUGGCGCGCACCUCGGUGCCGCCGAGAAGUUGGCUAAACCUCACCAUUUAGAGGAAGGUGAANUCGUANCA